GUGUAUAUAUCUGUGAACAGAGCUCUCCUGUCAGAGACACUCUUUCCUGAUCACAUCUGAAACCUACAGCCUUAAAAAAUAAACAGGACGCGCGGUCACGAGAAUGUUUAGCAGAAGGCUGCUUAUCAUCGUCUGUCUUCAUCUCUGUGCAGGCAUUGGACAAAAUGAAGCGUGUGAACUGGCUGAAUGUUUCAACUGUUCUCAACCUCUAGGUAGAAAUAAAGCACAAGGCAGAGUCUAGAGAACCUGCACAAUAUAUUUUACAUUCAAUUUUGUAAAUAACCUGAUUAUAUUUCUUCGUUCUAGCCCAAGCAUGUCCACUGUGCCAGUCCACGUCAAAUACCUGCACCAAUGAUAUUCUGCCAAAUUGCACGAAAAAAGAUUUUAAUGUGACCAUAAAACCCACUUCCACUAAAGUUCAAGAGGGUGUGACCGUGAUUCUUAACUGCACUCAUAACGUUCCCAAUGGCUCCAUUAGCUGGCUAAAGGACAAUGUAUUACAAGAAAACGAAAAUAAAGAAAUAUUUCAAAUCAAGUACAUUCUAAAAACCGCAGUGAUCAACUGCCAGGUUACAAGUAGUUGUGGGAACUACAACGAUACUAUAACAAUUGAAGUAGAAGCUGCUAAUAAUUUGGUGGUUUUACUGAUUUGUGUCGGAGCAGCAGCUGCUCUCCUCAUGCUGUUUGCAAUAGUCAUGAAGAUCGCACUCAAGAGAGGACAAGGUACAUUUAUAACCUUCUGCAAUUAAACAGACGCAUGUUGUCCUGUGUUUCAUAGCAUCUCUCUCUCUCUCUCUUUCAGCUCAGAGUCAGGCCAGGAAGAGACAAAGACAGCAGAACCUGGAGAACAUCCACAGCUCUGUGAACACCGUCACCAGCUACUACUGAGAGAGAGCGCUUCUGCAGCCCAAGCUCCUGAUUCAGAGACCUUUCAGUUCUACACUCCAAAUAUAUUUAGACCUAAAUUUAUGAACUGCAUAUACAAUUUCCAUCCAUCUGGAUUACACAGUUUUAACAUAAACUAAUAAUUGAGCUUUUAACGUGAACCCUAUGAACUUUAUAUGCGAUUCAAAUCAGUUUUGCUCACAUGUUAUUAUUAAAUGAUUUGGUGUAAAGUUGACUCGCUGGAUAGAUGGCAAUGGAAUGGCGUGUUUUUUUGACUUGUUAGGUCACCCUCAAAACACAUGCGGAAAUGAAUAAUGUGAAAUACAGUGGUCGCCUACAGUAAUCAGUGAAAACAGCAAACGAAGGAAGAUUCGUCUUUGCACCGUUUUGUGAGCAAACACUUUACAAUAAGGUUCCAAUUGUUAAUAUUAGUUAACUACAUAAACAAACAAGGAAAAAUACUUCUAAAGCAUUUAUUAGUCUUAAAUUAUGUUGAUUCCAACAUUUACUAAUACAAUAUUAACAUUAACAAGAGUUUUCUGUUAAUGUUAUUGAAUGGACCUGAGCUACCUGAACAAUGAACACUAAACAAAGAUUAAUAAAUACUGUAAUAAUGUAUUGCUCA
ensembl:lncRNA